rnacentral:lncRNA from 1 species
CCAAAAUCCAAUACUCUUCACGUCGGCCGAAUGAAAAUUAAAACCCUACCAGCGCCAAAAUCCGACACGCCACCUCAACCCGAGUCCUCGGCUGCUAUACAACCCAAAAGCGGGUGUUGCACGGGAAGAAAAGUGGAAUUCCUAAGCUGGAAUCUGAGGUACAAAAUUGCCAUUGAUUGUGCAUUAAGAUGUGAAAUCAAAAAUAUUUUGCUGAAUUCUAAUUUCAAAGCUUACGUUGCGGAUUUUAGGCUCAUCAAAUUCUUGGUAGAUGGUGGUGUUGGAUUAAUUAAUUGUGUAUUUGCGUGUGUGCAUGUGGAGGGGAAAAGGAGGGUUGUCUGAGGUUAGGUUUCAAACAAAUAGGUGAUUUAGCCGACUUGGGUAAAAGUGGAAACGGAUGGAGGGUGGAAAAUUUUGUACAAUAUUUUUUGUAUUAAAUAAAUGGACUCCCUCCUACGUGUUUGGAUUUGGAUUUCUUUACAUAUGUUUAUAUAAUGAAUUAUACAUUAUACAUAUAUGCCCAAACAAAAAUGUAUUAACAGAAAACAUUUUUCCACGUGAUAUAAAAAAAAACAACAAAAAUUCAUGAAGGAUUUCGAUCUUAACAUAAAGGCUCUGAUACCAAUUGUUAAUCUUUAGUUUUAAUCAUGUUAAGAAUCGAUAAUCACAAUCCAAUAAAUUAAUUGAAACGAAUUCAUACCUGCAGAAGCCAUUGUUGAUAUAAAUAGUAGUUGUAAUAGCAGCCAAGAUCUUCCCCUCCUUGCUCCUCACAAAAAAAUCAGCUAUCAAUGGGGCAAGCCAAUAAAACAUAUAGAAAGGAGAGAGGACCUAGCCUUUACAUAUAUGAAAUAAUUUGAGCCGUCCCAUUACGAUUAGAAUUCUAAUUAGGGUUUAUUUUCGGCUCACAUACUUUAAAUUAUCACAUCAAAUUAAUUACAACCCGUAAAGUGUAAAAAGGCCCAUUUGAUCACUUAAUAAAUUUGGCCCAAACACAAAUAUCAUUAUGAGCCAUAUAUCUAACCCUUAAAAUUUUACAAUCGAAUGUGAAGCCCACAUAUGAAAUUAUUAAUUAUUCCAACAGAUCUAUCAAAUGUUAUCAUUGAGAACAAAAGUAAUCGUGUAUUGAUUUGAGAAUCAUUAGCAAUGCACUUCAGGAAAAUUACAUUUUUCGGAGAAAUUACCUUUUCUAUCCAAGCUAGAAUUUAGAGAGAAAUGCAUCCAAACAUUUUUCUAGUCGUUCUCUCUUUUUCUUUUUCUUUUUCUUUUUUUUAACAUACGUUCUUAAGUUUCAACGGCUAUGUGAAAUCAAUUUUUGAACAAUUGUCUUUGGUUUGGUUGAGUGUGUGCUUUAAAGAUUGGUUAAUGGUUAACACUGAGAACUUCGUGUUGGAAUAAUUAAUAAUUUUAUAUGUGGGCUUCAUAUUUGAUUGUAAAUUUUACGGGUUAAAUGUAUGGCUCAUAAUGAUAUUUGUAUUUGGGCCAAAUUUAUUAAGUGAUCAAUUGGGUCUUUUACACCUUACAAGUUGUAAUUAAUUUGAUGUGGUAAUUUAAAGUAUGCGGGUCGGAAAUAAACACUAAUUAGAACUCUAGUCGUAAUGGGACGACUGAAAUUAUUUCCUAUAUAAAGGCAAGAUUCCCUCUCCUCUCCAUAUGUUUUAUUGGCUUGCCCCAUCGAUAGCUAAUACUUUGUGAGGAGCGAGGAGGGGAAGAUCUUGACUUCUAUUAUAACUAUUAUUCAUAUCAACGAUGACUUCCGCAGGUAUGAACUCAAUUUAUCAAUUUAUUAUUCUGUGAUUCUUAUUCUUAGCAUGAUUGCAAUUAAAUUCAACAAUUGAUAUUAGAGCCUUCAUGCUAAGAUCGGAAUCAUUUAUAAAAAAAAAAUAAAAAGGUGUCAACUUUUCACGUGGUGCUGUGCAUAUGUGUAUAAUGUAUAUUGUAUUCAUUAUAAAUUAAAAACCUAUGAAAGAACCAAAUCCAAACCACAUGCAGUUGGGUCCGUUUAAUAGAAAUAAAUUGUUCUAAAUUUUUCCUCCUGGUUUUCUCUACCGUCCGUUUCCACCAGCCACCAAAUUCUUUAUUUUUCUCAUUUUUGCUGGAAGUCUACCUUUUAAAAAUAAAUAAAUUCAUUAACGUUUUCAUGUGUGCAUUCAUUGUCUAAACAUAUGAAAAUAAAUCAAAACCCAAGUCGCGAAAACACCCUAUUGCAGACAAAACUGAUUUCCUACUAUAAUGGAUUUUAGAUUUGAUUUUGGCUGUGGCAAGAUCUAAAAACGACCACGUGUUGCUCAUAUAUAUAAUUGUUCCAUGGAUGCGUAUCUUCUUAUUGCUGUGAAACAUUGUUGGUUUAAACAUGCAAAUUGUAAUCGAAACCACUGUCGGCGUUGGCGGAUCGAGGAAACAGCAGAAUUGCUAUUUUUGCAGCGAUGACGACAAUCCUUUUAAUGUUGUUUCACAACUUGGGGUGGAGGAAUGUGUCGUUGUCCUAACGGUGACUUCCAACGGCUACAAAAACGAGGAUGGAGAUGGGAGCUCCAAUUGCAAUUAGUCAAGUUUUGAGUCCUUAGUUGCAAUUAUCAUUUAAGGGCCUGUCUGCAAUUAGAGAUUGGGGUCAUAUUUUAAUUUUUAAUAUAAGGACCUGCCAUGCAAUUUUGAAUAUUAAGGAACCUAGUUUUAAUUUUAAAUUUAGGGUUAAAAUGUGAUUUUUAAAAAGGACUUUUAUUUUGAACUUUUAAAAAAAUUUUGACCCUAAAAUUUCAAUUGGUCCAAUUAAAAUUUUAUUUAAACUUGACCUGAUUAAAAUCAUAUAUUGAAUAAAUAAUAAAAUUAAUUGACGACUUUUGUAUUAUUUCAUUAAAAUAUUAUGUAUUGCCAUUAUUUAUGCAUUAAAUUUCAUUUUGAAAUUUUGUUGCCAAUUUCGUCUCUCAAUAUUAAUCACAUAUGGAUUUCUUGUCUUUCAUCAAUUAAUGAUCAUGAUUUGUUGCAUAAUUUUUGUUCUGUGAUUAAAUUUUUGAUGAGUUUUGAGAUGAUUCUUGUUUUUCCCACUAUAAGAGAAAUAUUUUGAAAUAAAAAUGGGUGGUAGCUGCCAAAGUGGCACAUUCAUAAUUAUUUAUUCGAUUUUCUCUACAAUAAAAAUAUACAUAUAUUUCUGCGCAAUAUUUUUGAUUUAUUGCAUGUAAUAUCUUGUUCAAAUGUGUUAUUAUAUGUAAUAUUUUUGGAAAAUGGCGUAAGACAGUUAAUGAGCUUAUUUUGGUUUAGAAAUUUCCUUCUGCCCAAAGGUGUCGGUGUUUCGAAAAUCAGUGUAAUUUUGUUAACUGGAUACAUGAUGUGUUUUAAGAGUACCUUAUAGCAUGUUGUAUUGUCAACUCAAAUGUGACUUUAUGAUGAUGCACCUAGGCUCUUACCGUAAUAAAAUUCAUAUGUUUCGAUUUAAAUUACGGAUUAUCUAAUUAAUAACUCAUAUUAAUUAGUUGGAUAUUAUAUCAUCCAUUUGAUUGCAUGCAUUACGUUUGGAUGAUAUUGAGUGUGAUAUUUUUAUGUUUUCACAGUUUAUAAUGCCUCACCUCUUUCGAAUCAAUUGUCUGCUAUUAAAACUUUGACUGAGAAUAACUAUUUGAGAUGGAAAUGAGAUGUAGAAAUAGCACUUGGUCUUUUGGGCUUAAAUUUUGCAAUGGAGAAAAAGUUUGAGAAACCCACAAAUAAGAGUACCGUUGAAUAUGUAGCCGAGCAUGAAAAGUGGAAAAGGGCUAACAAACUCUGUUUGAAAAUUAUUAAGCGAUCAAUAUCUGAUUCCAUUUUAGGUGUCAUCCCCAAUAAUGAAAAUGUCAAAAAUUUUAUGGAUGUCAUAGGAGAAAAAUUUAUUGAGUCUGAUAAAGCUGAAAUUAGGGAUCUGAUGGAUAAAUUGAUGAGCAUGAAAUAUGAUGGCACAAGUGGUGUUAGGGAGCAUGUCAUGAAAAUGAUAAAUAUAUCAUCUAAGUUAAAGGCUCUUGACAUUCCCAUUGUGGAGCCUUUCUUGGUCUAUGAUGUUUUGAAUAACUUUUCUAGCAAGUUUAAUUAGUUUAGGGUUGCUUAUAAUGCUCAAAGUGAUAAAUGAAAUUUGAAUGAUCUCAUAGCAAUGUGUGCCCAAUAAGAGUAUAUGAUGCGCCGAAAAACUGUUGAAACUGUGCAACUAGCUUUUCAGCCGUCACAGAAUUAGGGACCUUCUCAUAAUCAUAAACAUAAGUUUCGUAAGGGUACUAAGUUCCAUCAAAGUCAGCAGAAUAAAAAUUUUAGUGGUCCCAAAGGAAUCAUAAAGAAAAAUGAUCGGUGCAAGUUCUGCAAAAGGAAGGGUCACAGGCGAAAAGACUGUCUUAAGAUUAAGAUCUGGUUGGAAAAGAAGAAGAGUUCUGUAAGUAUUCCCUUGGCCUUAGUUUGUUUUGAGUCUUCUUUAGUAGAUGUGCCUUUGAAUUCUUAGUGGUUAGACUCGGGAGCUAGUAUUCAUAUUGCGAAUUCCUUACAAGAGUUUACAGGCAAACAGAGGCCAAGUGAGAAUGAAGUGAGCUUCAGUGUCGAAAAUAGAGUUCAAGUGAAGGUUGACUCAUAGGAUAGUGAAGUUGUCUUUGGAGUCCGAUUUUACCAUUAUUUUGGAAAAUAUAGUUUUUGUACCGCAAAUGAGACGAGAUUUAAUUUCUAAAUCGAAACUUGAUGCUUAUGAUUGUACCUUCAACUUUGGUGCUAGAAACGUUGAGUUAUUUUAUGGUUCUCAUUUGAUUAGGAAUUAACUUUUACGUGAUGGUUUAUAUAAAUUGUCUUCAGCACAUUUUGGUGAAGUCUCGUGUGUUACCAAUGUAUCAAAAAAAUGGCUUUAAUCCGUGUAUCGUCCUCUAUGUUGUGGCAUAAGCGAUUAGAUUACAUUUUGAUGGAUAGAAUGGAAAGAUUAGUAAAAGUUGAGAUACUUCACCCUUUAGACUUCUCUAAGUUUGACACUUAUGUCGAUUGUAUAAGAGAAAAAUUAACUAAGUCUACAAAGAAAGUUUCAACUAGGAGUAAUAGUAUUUUGGACUUGAUACAUACUGAUGUUAGUGGACUUUUGCCUUCCACCAGAUGUGGGAUCAAAUAUUUCAUAAUUUUUAUUGAUGAUUUAUCAUGAUAUGGAUGUGUUUACUUGAUUAAUGAUUAAUUCCAUGCAUUAGAGAAAUUCAAGAUUUUCAAAAUGGAAGUAGAGAAAUAAUGUAAGAAAAAAAAGGUAUCAAAGUCGUAAUAUUUGGUCGUGGUGGUGAAUAAUAUAGCAAAUACGACGAGUCUGGUCAAAAUGUGGGUGAUUUUCACAAGUUUUUACAAGAGUGUAGAAUAGUGCUUCAAUACACCAUGUAAGGGACACCUAAGCAGAAUGACGCUUCUGAAAGCUGUAAUCGAACUUUGAAAGACAUGGUCAGGAGUAUGAUAAGUAGAACAAAUUUGCCAGAAUAUCUAUGAAGUAAGCUUUGAAAAUUGUCAUGUAUGUUUUAAACAGAAUUUUAGGUAAAGCUAUUGCAUGUACACAUUUUAAAUUAUGGAUAAGACAUAAGCCAAGUUUGGCUCAUUUUAAGGUUUGAGGAUGUCCAACUGAUGUUAGGAUUUAUAAUCUAUUGGGAAAGAUAAUUAGACCAGAAAUCCACUCCUGAUUACUUUAUUUGGUACCCGACAAAUCAAAAGCAUAUAAGUUCUAUUGUCUAAAUCGUGCCACUAGAAUUGUUGAAUCCGUUACUGAUAAAAUUUUGGAAAAUGAUUUUGGUGAUAGUGGAAGUUCCACAUUAAGAGAACUUUCGUUGAUAGAAAAAAAUUUGUUCUCAACCAGUUGAUGACAAAAUGAAGAACUGGGGAACCUAGAGGAACUUCCAAAUUCCUCCAACAACAAUUGGGUUAGUUCCUGAGCCACAAGUUACAAGAUCGCUUAGGGAAUAGAGAUCUUUCUGAAAAGGUUUACAUGAGACAACCUGAAAGUUUUGUUGUGAAAGGAAAGGAAAAUUUUGUAUGUAAGUUAAAUAAAUCUUUAUAUGGCCUCAAGCAACCAUCACGACAGUGGUAUUUGAAAUUUAACGGGGUUGUAACUUUUCUUGGUUUUGUUGAAAAUACCAUUCAUCAAUGCAUUUAUCUCAAAACCAGUGGGAGAAAUUUUAUUUUUCUUGUACCGUAUGCUGAUGACAUUCUGCUUGCUAGCAAUAACUUAGGGUUGCUUCAUUAGACGAAGAAAAUGUUGUCUGCUAAUUUUGAGAUGAAAGAUCUUGGAAAAGCUUCCUAUAUACUUGGCAUUGAAAUACAUCGUGAUAAAAAUCGUGACUUAUUAGGAUUCUCUCUGAAAGCUUAUAUACGACGUGUUCUAGAAAUGUUUAAUAUGCAUAACUGUGCACCUAGUGAUGUACCUAUCAUAAAAAGAGAUAAGUUUAACAAAACUCAAUGUCCAAAGAAUGAGUUAGAAAGGGAGUUUAUGAAGACGAUUCCAUAUGCUAAUGCUGUGGGGAGCUUAAUGUAUACUCAAGUUUGCACUAGAUUGGAUAUAGCCUAUGCAGUUAGUGUCCUUAGCAGAUUUCAGUCUAAUCCAAGACAAGAGCAUUGAAAAACAGCUAAGAAAGUUAUGAGACAUUUGAAGAAAACUGAAGGUUAUAUGCUUACAUUCCAGCGUACAAAUCAUCUUGAGGUGAUAGGAUAUUCAGAUUUUGAUUUUGCUGGAUAUCAAGAUGAUUUGAAAUCAACCUUUGAUUAUAUUUUUAUAUUAGCUGGUGGUGUUAUUUAUUAGAAAAGUGCUAAACAGACUCUAGUGGCAUCUUCUACUAUGCAAGCUGAAUUUGUGGCGUGUUAUGGGGCUACAGUUCAAGCCGUUAGGUUAAGAAAUUUCAUCUCUAGCUUGAAAGUUGUUGAUUCUAUCUCAAGACCGAUCACCAUCUACCGUGAUAACAGUGCAGCAGUAUUCUUUUCAAAGAAUAAUAAAAGUUAUGGUGGAUCAAAACAUAUUGACAUCAAAUAUUUGGUUGUUAGAGACAGACAUAAAGAAGGACAGACGAAAAUAGAGCAUAUCAAUACAGAGGCAAUGAUAGCAGAUCCCUUGACUAAGGGACUUGCUCCAAAAGUCUUUAAGACACAUGUUACUAAUAUGGGCAUUGUGGAAACAUUUGAUAUUUUUGGUUAGUGGGAGUUAUUUAUGUAAAAAACUACGUUUUGGGCUUGAUCCCUUUGCGGGGUACGUAAGCAACCUAUAUGUUUUCGGAUACAGCCCCUUCUGAUAAUAAAAUAUUUUUCACCUACCCAUGAACUAUUUUGAGCAUGCAUUUGACUUAUGUCUUUUCAUAAUAUUACCAUGAUCUCGAAAUAUGACGUAUGAAGACAUAAGAUGAGUCUCUUUUGGAGACAUGUGGCUUCAUUUUGAUUCGAAGCAUUAUGAGGACCAAUAUGAGUUAGCACAAUUUUUUAUCACAUUUAGUGCCAAGUUCAUACCACAUACUAUCACAUUGUUGGAGGAUGGGGAUCCAUGUCGAUAAUGAUGUUGAUAGUUGUAGCUGUGGAAUGGUCUUACAUCGCUUAAUUGGUGUAAUGACUUCCAUGUUCAGUGUUAAUAUUCUUGUUGGACCGGAUCAUGUUACGUAAGGUGUCAUCAUUGGAGCUAUACUUUUGUGGCCACCUAUGCAGUCUAACUCGGGUGUUAAAACUUUGUUAUGGCAAUCAAAUGUUUGUCCAAGUGGGAGAAUGUUGGAAUAAUUAAUAAUUCCAUAUGUGGGCUUUACAUUCGAUUGCAAAUUUUAGGGGUAAGAUGUAUGGCUCAUAAUGAUAUUUGUAUUUGGGCCAAAUUUAUUAAGUGAUCAAUUGGGCCUUUUACACCUUACAAGUUGUAAUUAAUUUGAUGUGGUAAUUUAAAAUAUGUGGGUCGAAAAUAAAUCCUAAUUAGAAUUCUAGUCGUAAUGGAACGGCUGAAAUUAUUUCUUAUAUAAAGGCAAGGUCCCCUCUCCUCUCCAUAUGUUUUAUUGGCUUGCCCCAUUGAUAGCUAAUACUUUGUGAGGAGCGAGGAGGGGAAGAUCUUGGCUUCUAUUAUAACUAUUAUUCAUAUUAACGAUGGCUUCCGCAGGUAUGAAUUCGAUUUAUCAAUUUAUUAUUCUGUGAUUCUUGUUCUUAGCAUGAUUGUAAUUAAAUUCAACACUUCGUGUUUGGGUUCAACUCUUUCAUGCCUCUUUAAAUUUUAGGGUGAUUGAAUGCAGUCUCUGGGGCGAUUUUUGGAAUUGUGUAUGAGUCGUAGAAGUUUCAAUAAUGACUUGAUUUUACUUUUCUCAUCUAUUGGAGUGUAAGCUGUAACUUACUAUUUGCUUUCAUGAUAUGCAUCAGGAUUUAGAAUUUUGACCUUGUAAUGUGACCCACACUAAAAAUUUUGUUAGAGAAGCACUGAAUCCUUGGCCAACCCAGACUCAAUAAACUGUAUAUAAUUAGGCAUUUCCUUUCUUUCUUCUUGAUACCUCAGCUGUAACAAUAAAAGCUAUGGCAUUGAGCCAUCUAUACAACUGAGAACCUGGCUUCUGCUUCUUCAUUAAUUCCUAGACAGCUGCUCCUCAACAUUUCAACCAAUUCACGAGAUACAAAUGUGAACGUAACAGGGAAAAUGAUAGUAUAAACUAUCAUAGCUUAAUGUUUAGCAGUAAUUAAGCUAGAAAAAUUUCUUUCCUCUUCAUAAGCAAUUCUGUAAGUUAAUUUCUAGCACAUCAGAGAUAAUGAACCGGUUACUUUUAACAGAUUUAGUGAACCCCCAGCAUAAAAAGGAAAAAGAAAAGCCGAGUCCAAAAGUUUAAGUUACUGGAAGUUCAUUCUUGACUUGCUGUCACUUUUCAAUAUCACUCUUCAAUUAGUUGACGGAAUUCAAUGCUCAAAGGAACCAAUUCAACGCAAACAUGAAAGUGGAAAACCAUUCCUUCUAACUGAAAAUUUGAAACCAAAAUUAAGAUUUGCUGGACAUAUUUUUUCUCUACCUACAAUGAGAAACAACAGUAGGUCAUAUGAUGGUUUGAACACAAUGGGAAUAUAUGUGAACACAUAGAAGCUUGUAAUUCACCACCGCUUAGUCAGUGACAAAGGCUAAAUUACGUAGGUCAUAUGAUGGUUUGAACCAUUCUUUAUAUGACUACUUAUUAACAAACUCGUGAAUGGUGCUGAUAAUGACCACUUCAUGCUCAACAUAAAUGAAUUGGAUAAAUUUUUAUAAUCAUCAUAGUAAUGUGUGGAAUCAGGAAUUGUUACCUUGAAAAAAUAUGUAUCUUGUCUAACCCGUGCACCAAAUAUAUCCUAAAUGUUUGGCUCUAUUGGCAAAUUAGAAAUUAUAAACUAACAAAUAUAACUACGAUAAAAAAUGGUUUAUCUUGAAAUAUGUCUAAAUACUUCUCAAUUAAUUCAGCCAUCUUUAAGUCCAAAUACAUGGUACAUACACACAAGGACCACAUUAAAUAGACAAGAUUGUUGCUCCAAUUAGAGGUACUACAAUUGUAUGAACUUUGAUGAACAAGUUGCACAUAGAAAUUACGUGCGAGGAGACAAGUUGACAAAGUUGCGAAAAGGUGUUUUUGAUUUCAUAUACGUGUCAUGAGAAUUGAUGAAAGUCUGCUUAUUUCUCCAAGCCCAAGAUAUGUCACACGUGCUCUAACAUUUUGGAAUAAAAUAGAGCCAAUUUAUCUUUGAAUUUGAGAUGGCUGAAGGUGGUUUAUAACAUCAAUCAUCAUCAUAAUCUAUGCAACUAAAUAUGUCAUGUUAAUGGUAAAAAAUUUUGUUGUCCGUAUUUUGAAUCAUUAAUAAUGAAAAGUUACUCUCAUAUUUAUUUUGAUCUCAUUUUUUUGAAGGAAAAAUUCGAUUUUGAAUUGAACCAACCAAUCAAAGAUGCUAUUGACCGUUCAUGAAGAAGAAGUGGAAGGAUUGUCGUUGUAGAUUGCAUAAAAAUUUGAUAACAUGGGUGGCAAUGGAGAUAUUAGACUUGCAAAAAGAAACAAGCCUACAUCUAUAGUAGAGCAAAGUGAUUGGGAUUUCCUAUGUGAUUAUUUUGCCAGUGAUGAGAUGAAGGUAACUACUAUUCAAUGAUACUAUUUUUAGUACAUAUUCUUAAUGGAAUCUAUGCCGUACUUGGAACCCUUCUCAUGAGUGUGGAAAAAUAAUGAUAUUCAUAUAUUACUUGAGUUAAGUCUAGUUUUGUAGAUUGGUUUGGCUAUAUUGAUCAAUAGAAAAAAUUAAAAGAAAACAAGGUUGGAAAAUUGUGGUACUUGUGUAGAGAAGGCUGCUUUACAGAAUGAGGUUGAAAUCUUCGUUCACAAUUGAAAUAUGUGCAGAUAUUCUUAAUUCGCAUUCCUAAAGAGUUUCUUCAGCCUAUUCAAUCUUAUAUGUCUUCAUCCAAUGGUUUAAAUGGUGAUAAUUAAUAUGUUUUUUACUUUAGUUUUGGUGAUGUAGUAAUAGUUAUUUAUUUUUAUUUGAUUGAGGCAAUAGUCUCUAACUUUACAUCUUCUAGUUUUUUAUGUUGAGAAUAGAAAUAAUUGAACUGGGUAUAUUUUGGUUGCUCAAAUCAUGAUAUUUGAUAUAAUUAACAUGUAGUUGUAGUUGAUGUUGGGACAAUUGAUUGAAGAC